AUGUGACUGUGGAUCGAGCCCAUGUGAAGCCUCUUCGACGAGUCGAGUUGUUUGGGAAUGCAGCUCAAAAUGGGUGGUAAAUUUCAUCUAAAGCUAAAUACUGGCUGGAGACCGAUAGCGCACAAGUAGAGUGAUCGAAAGAUGAAAAGCACUUUGGAAAGAGAGUCAAACAGUACGUGAAAUUGUUGAAAGGGAAGCGCUUGCAACCAGACCUGUCCGUAGGUGAUCAGCCGCUGUUCUCAGUGGUGCACUCGCUCUGCGAUCAGGCCAGCAUCGGUUCGGGCGGUCGGAUAAAGGCCUUGGGAAUGUAGCUUCCUUCGGGGAGCCUUAUAGCCCUCGGUGCAAUGCGGCCAGCCGGGACCGAGGACCGCGCUUCGGCUAGGAUGCUGGCGUAAUGGUUGUAAGCGACCCGUCUUGAAACACGGACCAAGGAGUCUAACAUCUAUGCGAGUGUUUGGGUGUCAAACCCAUGCGCGGAAUGAAAGUGAACGGAGGUGAGAACCCUUAAGGGCGCAUCAUCGACCGAUCCAGAUGUCUUCGGAUGGAUUUGAGUAUGAGCAUAGCUGUUGGGACCCGAAAGAUGGUGAACUAUGCCUGAAUAGGGUGAAGCCAGAGGAAACUCUGGUGGAGGCUCGCAGCGGUUCUGACGUGCAAAUCGAUCGUCAAAUUUGGGUAUAGGGGCGAAAGACUAAUCGAACCAUAUCUUGUA
rnacentral:rRNA from 1 species